rnacentral:rRNA from 1 species
UAACAAGGAUCCCCUAGUAACGGCGAGUGAAGAGGGAUAAGCUCAAAUUUGAAAUCUGGCGGCUUAAGGUCGUCCGAGUUGUAAUCUACAGAAGUGUUUUCCGCGCUGGACCGUGUACAAGUCCCUUGGAACAGGGCGUCAUACAGGGUGAGAAUCCCGUCUACGACACGGACUACCAGUGCUUUGUGAUACACUCUCAACGAGUCGAGUUGUUUGGGAAUGCACCUCAAAACGGGUGGUAAAUUCCAUCUCAAGCUAAAUACAGGCGAAAGACCGAUAGCGAACAAGUACCGUGAGGGAAAGAUGAAAAGCACUUUGGAAAGAGAGUUAAACAGUACGUGAAAUUGUUGAAAGGGAAACGCUUGAAGUCAGUCGCGUCUUCAGAAAUUCAGCUUGGCUUUCGCCUGGUGUACUUUUCUGUUGGACGGGCCAGCAUCGGUUUCGGCCGCCAGAAAAAGGUGGGAGGAAGGUGGCACCUCCGGGUGUGUUAUAGCCUCUCAUCGUAUGUGGCGGCUGGGACUGAGGACCGCAGCACGCCUUUAAUGGCCGGGGUUCGCCCACGUAACGUGCUUAGGAUGCUGGCGUAAUGGCUUUAAACGACCCGUCUUGAAACACGGACCAAGGAGUCUAACAUGCCUGCGAGUAUUUGGGUGGUAAACCCAUAUGCGGAAUGAAAGUGACUAGUUGGGACUUCUGUCAUGGAAGGCACCGACGCCCGGACCAGACCUAUUGUGACGGAUCCGAGGUAGAGCAUGUAUGUUGGGACCCGAAAGAUGGUGAACUAUGCCUGAGUAGGGUGAAGCCAGAGGAAACUCUGGUGGAGGCUCGUAGCGAUUCUGACGUGCAAAUCGAUCGUCGAACUUGGGUAUAGGGGCGAAAGACUAAUCGAACCAUCUAGUACUGUUCCC